rnacentral:rRNA from 1 species
GACGAACGCUGGCGGCGUGCCUAAUACAUGCAAGUAGAACGCUGAAGAGAGGAGCUUGCUCUUCUUGGAUUAGUUGCGAACGGGUGAGUAACGCGUAGGUAACCUGCCUUUUAGCGGGGGAUAACUAUUGGAAACGAUAGCUAAUACCGCAUAACAAUGGAUGCCACAUGUCUUUUCUUUGAAAGGGGCACUUGCUCCACUACAAGAUGGACCUGCGUUGUAUUAGCUAGUAGGUGAGGUAACGGCUUACCUAGGCGACGAUACAUAGCCGAACUGAGAGGGUGGUCGGCCACACUGGGACUGAGACACGGCCCAGGAUCCUACGGGAGGCAGGAGUAGGGAAUCUUCGGGAAUGGGGGGAAAGCUGACCGAGCAACGCCGCGUGAGUGAAGAAGGGUUUCGGAACGGAAAGCUCUGUUGUAAGGCAAGAACGAGUGUGAGAGUGGAAAGUGCACGCUGUGACGGUAGCUUACCAGAAAGGGACGGCUAACUACGUG